rnacentral:rRNA from 1 species
UACGGAGGGGGCGAGCGUUAUUCGGAAUUAUUGGGCGUAAAGGGCGCGUAGGCGGCUGUACAAGUCAAAGGUGAAAUCCCUCGGCUCAACUGAGGAACUGCCUUUGAAACUGUACGGCUUGAGGCCGGGAGGGGUAGCGGAAUUCCCAAUGUAGCGGUGAAAUGCGUAGAUAUUGGGAGGAACACCAGUGGCGAAGGCGGCUACCUGGACCGGUUCUGACGCUGAGGCGCGAAAGCGUGGGUAGCAACAGG